rnacentral:rRNA from 1 species
GACGAACGCUGGCGGCGUGCUUAACACAUGCAAGUCGAGCGAACAGACCCUGCUUUUGUGGGGUGCUCGAGUGGGGAACGGGUGAGUAAAACAUGAGUAACCUCCCCUUAUCUUUGGGGUAACUUCAGGGGACUGGGGCUCAUACCCGGUAGAAGCUCCUGAUCCGUAGUGGGGGUUGGUGAAUUUCGGCUGUGGGGGCUGUUCUCGCGGGGUCUCAGCUUGUUGGUAAGGUAGCGGCUUACCAAGGGUUUGAAGGGUAGCCGACGUGAGAGGGUGAUCGGCCGCACUGGAGCUGAGACACCGUCCAGGCUCCUACGGGAGGCAGCAGUAGGGAAUGGUCCGCAAUGGGCGGAAGCUUGACGGAGGGGCGCCGCGUGAGUGAUGAAGGUCUUCGGGUCGUAAAGCUGUGUUAUGGGGGAAAAACAAAUGUGUAAGUAACUAUGCACGUCUUGACGGUACCUGAUCAGAAAGCCACGGCUAACUACGUG